AAAAACAUUGCUCCUGGUAAAGAAUCAAGGGGUUUGACCUGCCCGGUGACUUUUUGUUAAACGGCUGCAGUACUCUGACUGUGCAAAGGUAGCAUAAUCAUUAGCCUGUUAAUUCCAGGCUGGAAUCAACGGUUGGACGAUAGGGGUUCUGUCUCUUUUCAUUAAUAUUGAACUUAAUGUUUAGGUGAAGAAGCCUGGAUGUGGUAGCGGGACGAGAAGACCCUAUAGAGCUUUAGGUAUCUUAAUAAAAGGUAGUGUUAUUAAUAUAUUUUUAGUUGGGGCAACUGUUUUUUAUUUAGACAUAAACGUGAUCACUAAUAAAAAUAGUUCGAUAUUUUUUUUGACCCAAAAUUUUUUGGUAGUUGGAAAAAGUUACCUUAGGGAUAACAGCGUUAUUUCUUUUGAGAGUACACAUUGACAAGGAAGUUUGCGACCUCGAUGUUGGAUUAAGUUUUCCUAGAAGUGCAGCAGCUUCUGAGGGUUGGUUUGUUCAACCAUUAAAAAUCUUACGUGAUCUGA
rnacentral:rRNA from 1 species